CGAAAGAAGCGUAGUCUAUAAACAACCCCUGAACGAAAAACAAUCUGGAAAUUUUUAUCAAAAAUUAGUGUUUAAAAAUCACCUUUUUAAUAGAAGUUUGUACCUUUGUGGUGUAGAAUAAUGGCCUCAAAGCCAGUCCUGAGCACGAAGACUCCAAUAACGGAGCUGCAAGAGCUGUGUGUGUCCAAAAAAGCGCCGCAUCCGCUGUACACAUUUACCGGUGAGGAAAUCGACGGAGGAAACCCGAAUUCCAAAGUUUUCACCACUUCGGUUUUGGCCCUCGGAUUCACCAGCAGCGGAAUUGGCCGGUCAAAGAAGGAUUCCAAACAUGACGCUGCCUAUAAGUUGUUUGAAAUUGCUGUUCGAGAAAGGGCUGAGCGAUAUUGACGUGGACAAUGAUGAGCACUUUUUGGCGGUCCUGUCCUCGGAUAAAGUGACCGAAGUGCGGGACAUUUGCGUGCAGCGGAACUUCGAGAUGCCCGAAUUCAACUGUGUCCGCAGUUCGGGACCUUCGCAUGCUCCAGAGUUUGAAUAUGAGUGCCCGCAUCGGAGCGAUUGUCCGCCGGGGGAAUUCACAAGACGAAGAAAGGGGCCAAACAGGCAGCGUGCAACGAGAUGAUUAAGACGCUGCAAGCUAUGCCAGUGGAGGACAGCGAAAUGCAGGUCCAGCCGCUCAAUCUGGCCGCCGAGAUCGAUUUGAACGAGGAUGAGCACAUCAUACGGACCUACCGGGAACUCAUCAACUCGGACAUCAAGAAAAAGCUGGCGUAAAGAUUGCGGACCGACAUCGGUUCUUCGAAGAACAGGAAGAAGCGAAAAUUUCCGCCGCCCGACGAAUUGCUCUGGACGAAACGCUGAACGUGGAGGACAAAUGCACCCUGAUCCCCAAGGCUCUGGGACUGAAAUUCGAAAUGAAACGAGACAACAGCGAUCUGGUAACGAUCGAAGGAAGAAAACUGUUCACAUUCGAAUUGCAGAAUUCAGAAUAUGAUUGUUUCAUUUUCGGAAAGGGAGACAAGUUUUACGAGAGCGUCUACAAGUAUCUUAAGAACAUGCUUAAUUUCGAUUACAUUGAUUGAAUGCGAUGUGAUAAUUAAUGCUUCAAGCAGAUCGUUUAUUCGGCUUACUACACUGAACUGGAUUAGAAAUUACAUUGAUUGAUAACACUUUAAUUUUAUCGUCCCCUUACGCCAUCGGUGUAAGGAUCGAUUAGUUGAUAAAAAUGUGAAUACAAACAAUAUGAACGUCAUUGAGUUUUAUUAAUGGUUA